rnacentral:lncRNA from 1 species
CUUACAUACAUCCGAAUAUUGCUAUGCAAGCCUCUAAGAGUGCUAAACAUAGUACCUGACAUGGUCGGGACAGGGCCCCACCGUACCCAAAAUUAACUGGAACAUACACAUCGGUACCUAUUGACUUUUGAACAGCUACUCCGGAGAAGUGAAGUGCAACAACCAAAAGCUGGAGCAAACACCCUAUUGGGGAAGGACGUCACCGGAUCUAUCUGUACCUGUGGGCAUGAACACAGUGCCCAAAGAAAAUAGACGUCGGUACGAAAGAUGUACUGAGUAUGUAAAACAUAUAACGUAUGUAAACCAAAGGGAUAUCAUAGGAGAUAGAAAUGCACAAAUCUUAACCUGAAUACCGUAGAUAAGCCACCGGGGGCAUACACUGCUAUAAUCAUGAAUGUAUGCAAGCUUUUCUAAAAUCAAGACACUCAUUGGGGCUAGGCAUUAAUUAUAAUAUAUACAUAUAUGUACAUUCAGCCACUCUUUGGGGCACUUCACAUCGCUCCGUACUCGGCCUCAUAUAGGACUCAGUCGUACCCGACCGUACCCGGUCUCAGCAGAAUUCGGCGUAACCGGCCUCGAGAGGACUCGGUAAAGUAUCACAUUAUACAUUACUCCAUACCUGACCUCAUAGAGGACUCGGUCGUACCCGACCUUAGGAGGACUCCACUGAACCCGACCUCAACAUGUCUCGGUGUAGUCGGCCUCAAAAGGACUCGGUAGCCUUACAUCACACAUCAUCAUAUCCGGCCACAUAAGGGCUCGGUAAUAUCUUAUAUCAUGUCUUAUUAUAUCCAACUGAUCAAUGGUUGCAGAAUCGGUGUCAUACCCGAUCAACUAUAACAUGGUUCUGUAAAGUAUAAUAGAUGCAUAUAUAUAUAUAUAUAUAUAUAUAUGUAUGUGUGUGUGUGUGUGUGUGUGUGUGUGUGUGUGUGUGUGUGUGUGUGUGUGUGUGUGUGUGUGUGCGCGCAAUGCAGAGUUAAUUUCAAGAUGUACUAAGAUCAAACUUAGAAAGCAUCAUAUUUUUCCGAACUUAGGGAACUAUCUGCAAGAUAUCUCAAAUUGAAGGAAUGCCAUCGGUAAGAAUAAUAUACAAGAAUAGAAACAACAUUAUUGAGAAGAUUUUAGAACAACCCAAUCUCACAACACAGAAAUCCUUGAAGAGGAAAGAGAGAGAGAGGGACACUCAUAUCAAGAAAGAAAGUUGUCCUACAUACCUUCUUGAAAAACUAGCUAUGUUUUCCUGAAUUCUUACGACUUCGUGGUGAUUAACUCUACCUUCAGUAGGUCUCCAAAAAUCGAGAUAACAUGUAUUAUAGUGAUAAUCCAAAGCUUAUUCACACUAAUUCUUACUAGAAUCGCUUCUAAUUCAGUUUAGUCUACUUAGAAACUCUCAAGGGAGGUUUGAGAGCGUUUUGGGUGGUUUAAAGUGGUGACACUCUCUAGAAUGAAAGAGAAGGAGCUACAUUCACCUUUUAUACUUAUACCAAGUCUAGGAAAUUCCGCCACUCCACAUGCACAAUGGGUCGCCCUGCCCAGGUUGCAGCACCGAGGGAUAUCUGGCUUUAGCCUAAUAAAUCGUGUAAUCCUCUUCUAUCCUCAUAUGUGUCGCUGGCCGAUUGUCCUUGCUAGAAGCUAAACUUUCCAAUCUUUAACUCUAUGCGUGGGGAAAAGUGUGGGGUGUAACAUCAUCCCCUUUGGAACAUUCGUCCUCAAAUGUUGAAUCGUAGUCACUCCUAACAAACUUCUUUAGUCAUGUUGGGUUGUGCCUGCCAUAUUAGUCUCAUUGUUGUCUCCUGUAGCGAGGAAUAAAUGGGGUGUAUGAGCUGUGAGUAAGGUGUGCAUAUGCCUCUGUAUUCAGACGGGAGUGAGGUGAGAAUGAGCUUGUGUGAUAGAGAGAAAAGAAAAGAGAGGGGCAGUGACUAGGGUUGAUUCUAAUGGGGGAUCC